rnacentral:rRNA from 1 species
AUUGAACGCUGGCGGCAGGCCUAACACAUGCAAGUCGAGCGGAUGAGGGAAGCUUGCUUCCUGAUUUAGCGGCGGACGGGUGAGUAAUGCCUAGGAAUCUGCCUAUUAGUGGGGGAUAACGUUCCGAAAGGAACGCUAAUACCGCAUACGUCCUACGGGAGAAAGUGGGGAUCUUCGGACCUCACGCUAAUAGAUGAGCCUAGGUCGGAUUAGCUAGUUGGUGAGGUAACAGCUCACCAAGGCGACGAUCCGUAGCUGGUCUGAGAGGAUGGUCAGCCGCACUGGAACUGGGACACGGUCCAGACUCCUACGGGAGGCAGCAGUGGGGAAUAUUGGACAAUGGGCGAAAGCCUGAUCCAGCCAUGCCGCGUGUGUGAAGAAGGUCUUCGGAUUGUAAAGCACUUUAAGUUGGGAGGAAGGGCUGUAAGCUAAUAUCUUGCAGCUUUGACGUUACCAACAGAAUAAGCACCGGCUAACUCUGUGCCAGCAGCCGCGGUAAUAC